rnacentral:rRNA from 1 species
GACAAAGGGUCGCGAUCCCGCGAGGGUGAGCUAACCCCAAAAAC